ensembl:lncRNA
CACCAUUACUAUCUUCCAUUUCCUUGUUUUCAACUAAAUGCAAAGCGUAUAUGCAUAUAUAUAUAAUACACUGUGAAAAAUAACCGACUAUUCUUUAUUCAGUCGCGCGAAGCUAUGUAUGUAUAAACAACACCACUAUGACCACCAGAAAAAAGCAGAAGGAACUCCGAAAUAAAGAAGUAUAACAAUGAAUUAAACUUACUGCAAGAAGGACAACAAUGUACUGUAGACCCUGUGUCUCUACACUACGAUAAACAAAACAUAAACAGGAAUAUAUCUGAAACACAAUACAAACAGCUGCAGGCUCAAGACUAGUAUCUACUUUUCAAUAUGUUUUGUUCAGGAAAAUAUGCGUACACUUUGCAAACAUAAAGUCUAGUCUAACAACUAGAAGAAGCACGAUUGAGAUAAGGACUUUUUUUUUCUGGAUAAUGUUGCAACUUUUCAACAAUUUUUGACUUGGGGUUUUUUUUUUGUUUUUUUUUGCAACACUGAGAAAAGAGAAUUAAGCACCACCACGAGUAUCUGAAGCAGUAUAAGGAAUAUAUAACUAUGGACAGUGAAGAGCGUGUGAUGCUAAUGCGACAGGGGACAGAGGGGGAGGAAGCCUGGGUAUGCUCUGAGCACGUUAUGACACACUGGAGAGAAGGUGCUUCCCCUUCCGAGCCUGGUCUGCUAUCAAACACCUUAUGAUACAAGAAGUCAACUGACGACGGGACGAGUUAUUUAGCCCUCAUCCAGAUAACGUUGAGAUUGGCUACUUUUGUUAUUCCAAAAGAAGUGAUAGAGAGAAACGAUUGAUAGUGAACUUGUGAAAUCAAAUAUUUGGAGGAGAAAAGAAAAAGAAAACCAACAUCGAGCUACUUAACCUACUAUUUAGACCAAUGAUACCACAAAGCUGGUUGUACUCAUCUAGCUACAGUCAAUAGUGCAUUUGAUAUACGUGUUUACACAAAAUAUGUAAAAAUUUCGGUGCCAUGAAGGAAUGCUAGAUUACUGAAUACACACGUUACACUGAAACGAUUUCAUUAAUGUCUCUGCCUUUGCUGUUA